CAGUCGCCACGGUAAUACGAAGGGGGCUAGCGUUGCUCGGAAUGACUGGGCGUAAAGGGCGCGUAGGCGGCGGCCAAAGUCAGGCGUGAAAUUCCCGGGCUCAACCUGGGGGCUGCGUUUGAUACUUGGUUGCUUGAGUGGGGAAGAGGGUCGUGGAAUUCCCAGUGUAGAGGUGAAAUUCGUAGAUAUUGGGAAGAACACCGGUGGCGAAGGCGGCGACCUGGUCCUUUACUGACGCUGAGGCGCGAAAGCGUGGGGAGCGAACAGGAUUAGAUACCCCGGUAGUCCCUGUCUCUUAUAA
rnacentral:rRNA from 1 species